CCUACGGGAGGCAGCAGUGGGGGAUAUUGCACAAUGGGGGAAACCCUGAUGCAGCGACGCCGCGUGGGCGAAGAAGUAUUUCGGUAUGUAAAGCCCUAUCAGCAGGGAAGAAGACAUGACGGUACCUGAGUAAGAAGCACCGGCUAAAUACGUGCCAGCAGCCGCGGUAAUACGUAGGGUGCAAGCGUUAUCCGGAUUUACUGGGUGUAAAGGGAGCGCAGGCGGCACGGCAAGCCUGAUGUGAAAGCCCGGGGCUCAACCGCGGGACUGCAUUGGGAACUACCGGGCUGGAGUGCCGGAGAGGGAGGCGGAAUUCCAAGUGUAGCGGUGAAAUGCGUAGAGAUUAGGAGGGACACCAGUGGCGAAGGCGGCCUACUGGACGGUGACUGACGCUGAGGCGCGAAAGCGUGGGGAGCAAACAGGAUUAGAUACCCGUGUAGUC
rnacentral:rRNA from 1 species